GAAGUUUGCCACUCCCCCAGUAAGGGGUGUAUUUCCUCCCCUGGGAAGACAUUUUUGAUUGCCUUGACUGAUAGAGUAUGAAUGGCAGAAGUGAGACUCUGU